CGAUGAUUGUGUCGAUACCAAGCUUCUGCACUUGAGCAACUUCAAGGAAAUAGUCCUCGACAAAUGAGCAGUAUUCAGAGUUCCUCUAGAUUCAUGGUCCCGCACAGUCAUUAUGGAUAAUCUAGUGCUUUUGGAAAAUGGUGCUUUAAGAGUCUUUACGAAGUGAUGGGCCCAUUAAUUAUCGCUUCAGGUUUCAGAUACGGUGGCUGCCGUUCCCCAAACAAAAUUGGAUUAAGGGAAUGCUCCAUGCUAAUGGAUAGCCUCUAUGUGGCGACAGGCAGGUCCAUGAAGAGUCGCUCGAAAUUAACAUUUUUGAGACUAUAAAGGAUGCACUGCCCCAUCAUCAGGUGGAUCGUCGAGGCCUUUUUCGAUGAUUGGAUUCCCAAAACUGGAGUCUAUAUAAGAAAAAUGAUGGCUUUCGGAUGUUAUCAUCCAUGCCUUUCUGAAGUGUUUGUGAUUCCCCGCUGCCUUAACCACAAUGAGGCCCUCCAAGAGAGAAGUGAAGCUGGCUGUUAAGAAGAAGCGGUUUGCAGCAAAGAGGGGGGCUACCCUACUUGAAAGGGCAAGAAAAAGAGGAUCGAGACAAUCCUUCAACAUCGGCUCCGAUACGUCGUCUCCUGAUCCUGCCCCCCAACCCCAUCGGAUGCAACCCAAAUAGGCUCU
rnacentral:lncRNA from 1 species